rnacentral:lncRNA from 1 species
GCCACGUGGAUGCGGACACGGCCUGCGCUUCUGCCAAGACCUCGGGUUGGCCCCCCGGAUUGGCAAGCCACCCCUCAAGGAGAGCCCCU